rnacentral:rRNA from 1 species
AGAGUUGAUCAUGGCUCAGGACGAACGCUGGCGGCAUGCCUCACACAUGCAAGUCGAGCGGUAAGCAGUAGCAAUACUGCCUAGAGCGGCGGACGGGUGAGUAAUGGUAUGAACAAUCUACCCUAUACUACGGGAUAACAUUCAGAAAUGGAUGCUAAUACUGUAUAAGACCACGCCAAGGCAUCUUGGAGGGGUAAAAGAAAUUCGGUAUAGGAUGAGUUCAUAUCCCAUUAGCUAGUUGGUAGGGUAAAGGCCUACCAAGGCUGCGAUGGGUAGCCGACCUGAGAGGGUGAACGGCCACACUGGAAUUGAGAAACGGUCCAGACUCCUACGGGAGGCAGCAGUGGGGAAUAUUGGGCAAUGGAGGAAAAACCUCUUACCCAGCAAUGCCGCGUGAAGGAAGAAGGUUUUCGGAUUGUAAACUUCUGUUAUAGGUGACGAAGAAUGACGGUAGCCUAUAAGGAAGCCCCGGCAAACUAUGUGCCAGCCGCAGC